rnacentral:rRNA from 1 species
GACGAACGCUGGCGGCGUGCCUAAUACAUGCAAGUCGAACGCUUCUUUCCUCCCGAGUGCUUGCACUCGAUUGGAAAGAGGGGUGGCGGACGGGUGAGUAACACGUGGGUAACCUACCCAUCAGCGGGGGAUAACACUUGCAAACAGGUGCUAAUACCGCAUAACAGUUUAUGCCGCAUGGCAUAAGAGUGAAAGGCGCUUUCGGGUGUCGUUGAUGGAUGGACCCGCGGUGCAUUAGCUAGUUGGUGAGGUAACGGCUCACCAAGGCAACGAUGCAUAGCCGAACUGAGAGGGUGAUCGGCCACACGGGAACUGAGACACGGUGCAGAAUCCUACGGGAGGCAGCAGUAGGGAAUCGUACGCAAUGGGCGAAAGUCUGACGGAGCAACGCCGAGUGAGUGAAGAAGGUCUUCGGAUCGUAAAACUCUGUUAUUAGGGAAGAACAAAGGUGUAAGUAACUACGCACGGCUUGACGGGACCUAAUAAGAAAGACACGGCUAACUACGUG